AGCUGAUUGCACCGAUUGCACAUAUACAAUUGCAAUCUUGUGUAUAUUUACGAAAAAAAUUACAUUGGUUGUUUUAACGACUUUUUGCUUGUAAGUAUUAGUGCUCCAAGUAGGCCUGGAUAAAAUCUGUUUUUUUCAACGGCCAUUAUGUUUCCACCUUUGUUAGCUGCAGCUUCGUGAAAUGCAGAAGAAUAUAAAACUUUCGCCAGUAAGAUCUGGUGCAAUCGGCAUCCAUGAGCGACUAAAGGAAAAGGCAACUGGCAAUUUUCUUAGAGUUUUGAGCAUCGGAUCAUCAACUAUGAUUUUGAUUACCAGAUUCCAGAUCAUCUAAUCACAGUCAAGGCUGCUCGAAUUGCGAAUUGCGAGGAUGAGAAUUGCAUUCCGAUGUUUUACAAGUUCGAAUGUCGAGGACGCUGUCCUUGCAAUUGCUGCCAUUAAGUAAUAAGAAUUGUGCAAAGUGUGAAAUGUAUUAAUAUGAAUAAAAAGUUUAUUUUAAUAAAAAUUAAUUUAAUCUAAA